GUGCUUAACACAUGCAAGUCGAACGAACCUUCGGGUUAGUGGCGGACGGGUGAGUAACGCGUGAGAAUCUGCCCUCAGGAGGGGGAUAACGGUUGGAAACGACCGCUAAUACCCCAUAUGCCGCGAGGUGAAAUGAAUUUCGCCUGAGGAUGAGCUCGCGUCUGAUUAGUUAGUUGGUGGGGUAAAGGCCUACCAAGACAUCGAUCAGGUAGCUGGUCUGAGAGGAUGAUCAGCCACACUGGGACUGAGACACGGCCCAGACUCCUACGGGAGGCAGCAGUGGGGAAUUUUCCGCAAUGGGCGAAAGCCUGACGGAGCAACGCCGCGUGAGGGAUGAAGGCCUCUGGGCUGUAAACCUCUUUUAUCAAGGAAGAAGAUCUGACGGUACUUGAUGAAUAAGCCACGGCAAAUUCCGUGCCAGCGGCCGCGGUAAUACGGGAGUGGCAAGCGUUAUCCGGAAUUAUUGGGCGUAAAGCGUCCGCAGGCGGUCUGUCAAGUCUGCUGUUAAAGCGUGGAGCUUAACUCCAUUUCGGCAGUGGAAACUGACAGACUAGAGUGUGGUAGGGGCAGAGG
rnacentral:rRNA from 1 species